UUGAGACUAUUCCAUCUUCCAUUGGAGAUCUCAGCAAACUCUGCAAGUUAGGCCUUACCUACUGUGAAUCACUUGAAACUUUUCCGAGCAGCAUUUUCAAAUUGAAGUUGACAAAACUUGAUUUGAGUCGUUGCUCAAAGCUGAGGACCUUCCCUGAGAUCUUGGAGCCUGCACAAACUUUUGCUCACGUUAACUUAACAGGAACGGCCAUUAAAGAAUUGCCUUUUUCAUUUGGCAAUUUGGUUCAUCUUCAAACCUUGCGCCUGAACAUGUGCACUAAUCUCGAGUCACUUCCCAACAGCAUUUUCAAAUUGAAGUUGACAAAACUUGAUUUGAGUCGUUGCUCAAAGCUGAGGACCUUCCCUGAGAUCUUGGAGCCUGCACAAACUUUUGCUCACGUUAACUUAACAGGAACGGCCAUUAAAGAAUUGCCUUUUUCAUUUGGCAAUUUGGUUCAUCUUCAAACCUUGCGCCUGAACAUGUGCACUGAUCUCGAGUCACUUCCAAACAGCAUUGUCAAAUUGAAGUUGACAGAACUUGAUUUGAGUGGUUGCUCAAAGCUGAGGACCUUCCCCGAGAUCUUGGAGCCUGCACAAACUUUUGCUCACGUUUACUUAACAGGAACGGCCAUUAAAGAAUUGCCUUUUUCAUUUGGCAAUUUGGUUCAGCUUCAAACCCUGCACCUGAACUUGUGCACUGAUCUCGAGUCACUUCCAAACAGCAUUGUCAAUCUGAACCUUCUCUCU
rnacentral:lncRNA from 1 species